UCCCUCCCUCCCUCCCUCCCUCCUUCUUUCUCUCCUCCGGCGAAGCGCCGCCGCCUGGUCUCGUCGUCACCGCCCUAGCAGCGCCGAAAACGCCACCGCCGAUCCAGAGUCCCUGAGGCGGUGCUCUUCGAGGCUUUUGUUCUGGAUCUCAGCGACUUUCUUGCCGCCGCUCGCGCACCCAUGGCUACCGUUUGGAUCGCCACACAUGGUGGUGACUUGUGUGCAGAAAAUGGAGGCGAUGUUGGAGGCUAGGAGGCAGAGAGAGAGAAGAGAAAUCAAAGCGUAGAAAGAUUUCUUGCUUCUCUGCUCAGACAAGAAACUGUCAAUGAUUUUCUUCAUUCUCAGAUCUGGAACAAGAAUUAGAAACAGUUGCUGCUGCUAUCAUAUCGAAAGAGAGAGCACGGGAGGCGGCACAGAAAUCAAAUUGAAAAGCGAGGUUGUUUUUGGUGGUGAUGAGGAAGCACUACUUUAGCUUUGUAUUUAUAUACUGUAUGUCAUUUUUCAUUCAAAAUUAAAUUGAAAAAGAUCAGAAUAUGAUGGUGUUGGUGGUGAAGGGGGGCGGCUCAAUAAGUAUGGGAAUUAAACUUAAUUAUUAGAUUCAUCUCUCGCAAGGUGUUUGGCUAUGCGAUUGAUGGAUAAAUUAAGUGUGAUGCUGUCUUUUUUUCGUCAAGAAGAUUGUGGAGGCGUGCUUUUAAGGUAUGGUCGAUGCUGGAACUGCAACAAUUAAAUAUUCACAAAAAAUUGGUUUGUGCAAUAUUAAAAAAAAAAAUUGAUAGAGAAAAUUGUUGUAGAUUUAAUUAAAUAUUUGAAGUUGAGUACUAUCAAUCAGAUUUAUGAAUUCAUAACUAAAUCUAUGAAUUCACAAUUUAAUGUUCUUGAAUUCACGAUCACAUUUAUAAAUUUACAACUUAAUGUUUUUAAAUUCACAACUAGAUUUAUGAAUUCACAACUUAAUGUUCUUGAAUUAACAACUAGCUCGAUGAAUUCACAACUUAAUAUUAUUGAAUUUACAACUAAAUAUAUAAAUUCACAAUCAAAAUAAAUUAUAGUUUUAAUUGUGAAUUCAAGCUUUAAAAACUCAAAUUCACAAC
rnacentral:lncRNA from 1 species